GAUGAACGCUGGCGGCGUGCCUAAUACAUGCAAGUCGAGCGAACAGAUAAGGAGCUUGCUCCUUUGACGUUAGCGGCGGACGGGUGAGUAACACGUGGGUAACCUACCUAUAAGACUGGAAUAACUCCGGGAAACCGGGGCUAAUGCCGGAUAACAUUUAGAACCGCAUGGUUCUAAAGUGAAAGAUGGUUUUGCUAUCACUUAUAGAUGGACACGCGCCGUAUUAGCUAGUUGGUAAGGUAACGGCUUACCAAGGCAACGAUACGUAGCCGACCUGAGAGGGUGAUCGGCCACACUGGAACUGAGACACGGUCCAGACUCCUACGGGAGGCAGCAGUAGGGAAUCUUCCGCAAUGGGCGAAAGCCUGACGGAGCAACGCCGCGUGAGUGAUGAAGGUCUUCGGAUCGUAAAACUCUGUUAUUAGGGAAGAACAAAUGUGUAAGUAACUGUGCACGUCUUGACGGUACCUAAUCAGAAAGCCACGGCUAACUACGUG
rnacentral:rRNA from 1 species